GAUGAACGCUAGCGACAGGCCUAACACAUGCAAGUCGAGGGGCAUCGAGGAUUAGCAAUAAUUUGUCGGCGACCGGCGCACGGGUGAGUAACACGUAUGCAACCUGGCUUCAACACGAGAAUAACCCGUUGAAAGACGGCCUAAUACUCGAUAAAACAGGGACCCCGCCUGGGGAUAUUUGUUAAAGAUUAAUCGGUUGGAGAUGGGCAUGCGUAUGAUUAGCUAGUUGGUGAGGUAACGGCUCACCAAGGCAGCGAUCAUUAGGGGUUCUGAGAGGAAGGUCCCCCACACUGGUACUGAGACACGGACCAGACUCCUACGGGAGGCAGCAGUGAGGAAUAUUGGUCAAUGGGCGCGAGCCUGAACCAGCCAAGUCGCGUGAAGGAAGACUGCCCUAUAGGUUGUAAACUUCUUUUGUACAGGAAUAAAGUGAGUCACGUGUGGCUUUUUGUAUGUACUGUACGAAUAAGGAUCGGCUAACUCCGUGCCAGCAGCCGCGGUAAUACGGAGGAUCCAAGCGUUAUCCGGAUUUAUUGGGUUUAAAGGGUGCGUAGGCGGACUUGUAAGUCAGUGGUGAAAGUUUUGAGCUUAACUGAAAAAUUGCCAUUGAAACUGCGGGUCUUGAGUGCAAAUGAGGUAUGCGGAAUGUGUUGUGUAGCGGUGAAAUGCAUAGAUAUGACACAGAACUCCGAUUGCGAAGGCAGCAUACUGGGAUGCAACUGACGCUGAUGCACGAAAGCGUGGGUAUCAAACAGGAUUAGAUACCCUGGUAGUCCACGCAGUAAACGAUGAAUACUCGCUGUUUGCGAUAUACAGUAAGCGGCCAAGCGAAAGCGUUAAGUAUUCCACCUGGGGAGUACGUUCGCAGAUG
rnacentral:rRNA from 1 species